rnacentral:tRNA from 1 species
GCACUCAUAGAUCAACUGGAUAGAUCGUUUGACUACGGAUCAAAAGGCUGCGGGUUCGAAUCCUGCUGGGUGCGCCA